rnacentral:rRNA from 1 species
CGAUGUUUCAUUCAAAUUUCUGCCCUAUCAACUUUCGACGGUAGGGUAGUGGCCUACCGUGGUGGUAACGGGUGACGGAGGAUUAGGGUUCGAUUCCGGAGAGGGAGCCUGAGAAACGGCUACCACAUCCAAGGAAGGCAGCAGGCGCGCAAAUUACCCAAAUCCCAACUCGGGGAGGUAGUGACAAGAAAUAACGAUGCUCCGGCCAUCGGUCGGGUAAUCGGAAUGAGAACAAUUUAAAUCCCUUAUCGAGGAUCAAUUGGAGGGCAAGUCUGGUGCCAGCAGCCGCGGUAAUUCCAGCUCCAAUAGCGUAUAUUUAAGUUGCUGCGGUUAAAAAGCUCGUAGUCGGAUUUCGGGUGGUUCCUACCGGUCCGCCCUUGGUGAGUACUGGUAGGCGCCACCUUUCUGCCGAGGACGGGUUCCUGGGCUUAACUGUCUGGGGCCCGGAGUCGGCGAUGUCACUUUGAGUAAAUUAGGGUGUUUAAAGCAGGCUUAUGCUCUGAAUACACUAGCAUGGGAUGACACGAUAGGACUUCGGUCUAUCUUGUCGGUCUGUAGGUCGGAGUAAUGAUUAAGAGGGACAGUCGGGGGCAUUCGUAUUUCGUAAUCAGAGGUGAAAUUCUUGGAUUUACGGAAGACGAACUUCUGCGAAAGCAUUUGCCAAGGAUGUUUUCAUUGAUCAAGAACGAAAGUCGGGGGCUCGAAGACGAUUAGAUACCGUCGUAGUCUCGACCAUAAACGAUG